CUAUCGGAUCGUUUUAGAAACAUUAGUGGCCAACGGUCGUCAGGAUCGUUGAGCUGCAUUGGCGGGAUUUCGCCGUCUUCGUUUCUCUUUCUUCGCGGACGAACACGCGCUGGGCCUGCAUGGUUGCAGGAUCCCGGUCCUUAACUGGAUAUGCGUUAGGGGCUUGUAGCUCAGUUGGUUAGAGCGCGCGCUUGAUAAGCGUGAGGUCGGAAGUUCAAGUCUUCCCAGGCCCACCACACUCAUCGAGUGAGCAUUCGUCUUCUGGUUACGGGGCCAUAGCUCAGCUGGGAGAGCGCGUGCUUUGCAAGCAUGAGGUCGUCGGUUCGAUCCCGUCUGGCUCCACCAGAUGGUUUGAUCACCGACAACUCAACCGUCGUCCGCGAAACAUCACUUCGCACCCACUAGUCCGGAUGGACAGUGACGUGCGUGAUUUCUGACAUCGUAAAGAGGAGAUCGAUCCGAGUUGGAUCGUGCAGAAGAUUUCUGCGCGGUACUCCAUUAUCUCCGGAUCAUUUCGGCGCUCGUGCGUCUUCCAGGGUAGCUCACAAGGCUGCAUUGAAAGACAAGCGAGUUGUAAAUGAUCCUUUUAGCGAAGCUUGACCGCCUCGCUAUCGGAACGAUCUUACGAAGCAAGCUGGUCUUUCUAAUCAUUGUCCGGCUGUACGUAGCGUUCAUCGAGGGCGCGCGCCGCAAGGCAAUCGUACAGACAACAUUCUGCCGAGUGUGUGGACAUUGAUAAUGAGAG
rnacentral:tRNA from 1 species